UCGCUCUUGUCUCUCCUCAGCUCACCCGCACUAACCUUUCGCCUUUUACUAAAGGUUACCGUGGGGAGGGACACUUCAAUGAGCAUCUAGGCCAAUUUUUGUGGGGCCCUGCUCGUUUGGGUGGGGC
rnacentral:snRNA from 1 species